rnacentral:rRNA from 1 species
AUACCUGGCGGAAUGCUUACCAUGCAGUCGAACGGCAGCACGGACUUCGGUCUGGUGGCGAGUGGCGAACGGGUGAGUAAUGCAUCGGAACGUGCCCAAUCGUGGGGGAUAACGUAGCGAAAGUUACGCUAAUACCGCAUACGAUCUAAGGAUGAAAGCGGGGGAUCGCAAGACCUCGCGCGAAUGGAGCGGCCGAUGUUAGAUUAGGUAGUUGGUGGGGUAAAGGCUCACCAAGCCGACGAUCUAUAGCUGGUCUGAGAGGAUGAUCAGCCACACUGGGACUGAGACACGGCCCAGACUCCUACGGGAGGCAGCAGUGGGGAAUUUUGGACAAUGGGCGCAAGCCUGAUCCAGCCAUUCCGCGUGCAGGAUGAAGGCCCUCGGGUUGUAAACUGCUUUUGUACAGAACGAAAAGCUCUGGGUUAAUACCCUGGGGUCAUGACGGUACUGUAAGAAUAAGCACCGGCUAACUACGUGCCAGCAGCCGCGGCAAUACGUAGGGUGCAAGCGUUAAUCGGAAUUACUGG